AACGAACGCUGGCGGCAGGCUUAACACAUGCAAGUCGAACGCAUCCUUCGGGGUGAGUGGCAGACGGGUGAGUAACGCGUGGGAACGUGCCCUUCAGUUCGGGAUAACCCAGGGAAACUUGGGCUAAUACCGGAAACGUGCGUGAGCAGAAAGAUUUAUCGCUGAGGGAGCGUCCCGCGUAUGAUUGGCUAGUUGGUGGGGUAAUGGCCCACCAAGGCGACGAUCAGUAGCUGGUCUGAGAGGAUGAUCAGCCACAUUGGGACUGAGACACGGCCCAAACUCCUACGGGAGGCAGCAGUGGGGAAGAUUGGACAAUGGGCGCAAGCCUGAUCCAGCCAUGCCGCGUGAGUGAUGAAGGCCUUAGGGUUGUAAAGCUCUUUCGUCAGGGACGAUAAUGACGGUACCGGAAGAAGAAGCCCCGGCUAACUUCGUGCCAGCCGCCGCAGUAA
rnacentral:rRNA from 1 species